CCAACCUCAACCAUUCUGUGAUUCUGUGAAUUAUCAGCAUUUAUCUCUGAAUCAUCAAUUAUUGCUCUCUUAAGGGGAAAAUCUCUUCCCAUUAAAACUAAUGCCUGUACCUGUUUCAGAGGUCCCUUCACUGCCUGGAAAUACUCUGGAAGAUAAUUAUGAUGAUGUGACAGAAGCUCCUGGACCAAAAGAUGAUCCUCUUUCUGAGCAGAAUGAACAGGAAAUCAUUGUGGUCAUUGAAGAAAGUAAAGGAAGCCGGGAUUCACAGACCGAUUGGAAUCCUAAUGCACCAGGAAACAGGACCUCUGAGGCUGAGAGAGAGGAUUUAUCCCCUCCUCUUGAAGAUACAGCUUAUGAUGAAAGUGAAGAGCUGGGACACUGACAAAGACUGCUGGACAAUACCAAACUCUUUUUGAAAUAGAUCUCUGUCUAUAAAAUGCUAAUCAGGUACUAGCAGAACCAGAGCAACCUUCACUUAGUAUUAGUUUACCUACCUUUUUUUUUUCAGGAGAGGGAUUACAUAUUUAGAAGAAACAGAAGUUUGACUGUUAAGAAAAUUUCUUAUUUCCCUUCUAAUUUCUUAUUGCCAUGUCUGCCUGGACAGUUUCUGCUUUUUAUUUCUAAAUAUUUUCACUGUUUUUUUUUUUCCUACUGAGUUAAUAUUUCAACUUAUGAUAUUUCCUUAUUAAGAACUGUUUAAAGUGUUCAUAAUCUUGUACCAAGGACUAAGGCAGAAGAGGUUGGCACAGGGAUGAACUAAAUACUGUUUUAUAUUCACUGAGUAGCCUGGCAAACCUACACUUCUGUGUAUGUCUUGAUGGGGCACUGGAUGGAGCUUCCCCAUGGGAUCUUGUGAGAGUGCAGGAGUGCUUGUUAUUCUGUAAUGCAUAGGAUGUUUCAACUUGUCUGAUAUUAUUCUUUCUGAGCUAGGCUGAAAGUAGUGAGGAGGAAAUUCAAAAGGAAAGGCAAGUCUGGCAGAGACAAGGCACUUCAUUAGAAGAAAGCCUAAGGUAAAGCAACCACCUGGACAUCUAGCUCCAGGCAGGAGUGGUGUACUUCUUCCCUGGUUAAACCUACAUCACAGGAGGACCUGUCACAGGAACCAGGCCUGUAAGAAAAGAAGACUUGCUGGGUGCUUCUCCAGCAGUAUCAGUAAGACCUGACAGGCAGGCUAUGAGAUACAGAUGGAGGGAAACAAGUAGGUGGGAUUUGUACCUUGUGGAAUGCAAAAAGACACUUACAAGAGUAUGUACCAGCCCUCCUGUAAGUAAUAGAUCACUUCAAAGUAUUAAAUCAACAACCUAUAUUGGCUAUAGAGCAGUAGGAAACCUGAGAGAAUCAGGCUAAGGUCAAGGUGUCCUCAAAUUGAACCUUCAAACAUG
rnacentral:lncRNA from 1 species